rnacentral:misc_RNA from 1 species
UCCCCGUAGGUGAACCUGCGGAGGGAUCAUUACAGAGUUCUCGCCCUCACGGGUAGAUCUCCCGUCCACUGUUAUCGUUACUGUAGUUGCUUUGGCGGGCCACCGGGUCCCCGGCGGCCGGCGCCUAGCUGCGGGCGCGCGCCCGCCAGAGGCCUCCAAACUCUGAAUGAUAGUGUCGACUGAGUACUAUAGUAUAGUUAAAACUUUCAACAACGGAUCUCUUGGUUCUG